rnacentral:rRNA from 1 species
UACGGAGGGUGCAAGCGUUGUCCGGAAUCACUGGGCGUAAAGGGCGCGUAGGCGGCUCAUGAAGGCUGUGGUGAAAGUCCGGGGCUCAACCUCGGAUCGGCCGUGGCGACUCGUGGGCUGGAGCACUGUAGAGGCGGGUGGAAUUCCGGGUGUAGCGGUGGAAUGCGUAGAUAUUCGCAAGAACACCAGUGGCGAAGGCGGCUCACUGGCCCGAUACUGACGCUCAGGUGCGAAAGCCAGGGGAGCGAACGGG